UGUUAAGUAUAACGAUUUUUGUGAUCAGGUAAGACACUGGCCUUUGGGGUUCCAGCUAUUAUGCAUGUUUUGCAGAAGCGCCAGAAUAAAACGUCCAAGAGAGUGAAUCCACUUUGCCUUGUACUUUCACCAACAAGAGAGCUGGCGCAACAAAUUUCAGACGUUCUUUGUGAUGCUGGGAAACCUUGUGGCUUGCAGUCAGUUUGUUUAUAUGGAGGAACUUCUAAAGGACCCCAGAUAUCUGCUUUGAAGUCUGGUGUUGUAAGACUACUUCAAUUUUGCUCUCUAAUUUUAUUUUCAUUUUGAAUUUUUGCCACACAAAAAAA